AAAGUUCAUAUUUGAGCUGACAUGUAUGCCACCUUGUUCCACAUGGCCAAACAAAUAAUAAAAAAUACUUAACUAUUCAAAAUUAUUUGAAUUUAUUUAAUAUUUUAUUUAAAAAUUAUAAAUAAAAUAAAUAAAGAAAACAACUUAGAGGUACGUCUCGUUCGUAUGAACUUUGAUGUGUUCUUCCUUUCCUCUGCCAAACACUCAUCCUCCUUCGCUCUCAACCUCGAGGGCAACGGCAGCUCUAACGGCCUCCAUGCCUUCGUCGCCGAGGUUGGCCUCGUGCUUAAAGAAUGCCUCUCGUUUUCAAUUUGGUCAAACAACAGACCCCCAAUUUCAGGGAUUCCCCCACCACGCUUCCAAUCCCAAUCGACGUUCUGAACUUCCGAGAUUUCAAUUGCCUUCAUCUGAGUCGCCGAGCUUCGAUUCCACUACAGCAAAGAUCCAAUAUUUUCUCAAUUUCGAAAACGGAAGAAAGAAACCAUCUUUCCCACGUUCUCUGCAAUUUCUGGGUUUACCUUUAUACUGGUGCUACACAGACAGACCCUCUUCGCCUCCCACUUCUUCACAGCCUCCGACCGACAGAAGCAAGCUUGUGUUUUUUUACCACAGGCAGCCGUUUGAACUGGAGGAUUUGAUGUGGGCACUAGCGGAGAUGUUGGGGAAAGAGAGCCUGGGGCGGUGUACAAGGCGGUGCUGAACGACGGGAGCACCAUGGCAGUGAAGCGGCUCAAGGAUGCUGUAGUGGUGGUGAUGGCCGAUGAUGGCGACGAAGAUGACGACUGGCCAAUUACCUCUCUCGUAAUGGAGUCGAAGAGAGAGAUGCAGAAUUACAGGUGCAUGUUGAAGGGGUGUCCUCCAGUUUAUGAUCCGACCUUUUGGAAACGUACCAGACCUUAGGUGGCUCACUGCACUUCACAAUCUCAAAGGAACGAAAUACAAGAUAAGUUAUUCUAAUGUAUUUAUUUCCUAUUUUAUUAAUUUUUAUUGAAUUUAAAAUUGUAAAGAAUGGCUAUGGUAUUUAUAAGAAGAUAAAUUUUUAAACUAAAGUUUAUAAAUCAAAUAAUGAUUAAUUAAAUGUUAAUUAAUGUUUUUAUUUAUUAUUACUGAUACAUCAUUUAAAUUUAAUUUAAAAUUUUAGUAUUAACUAUAAUUUUAAUGCUGGUAGACGGUCUGGUCUCUGGAGUUUGAAAGCGUGCCUUUUGAUUGUCCCGUGCUAGAUCUUCAAAUAGUUUGAAGAGGACGGUUUGGGGUUCUUUUGUUUCUUCAAGGAAGUACAAGUGUAGUACUUGUUGAUGCUUUGGUGUCAGUGAGUGGUAGCAGAUCUGCUUCCAUUAAUUUGCCGCAGGUUUAAUCAUCAAGAACCGUCAUGAAAGAUGAUGGGGUCAGGGAUGGUGUGGAAUGAAGCGGUGAAAAGGAUUGCAGAAGCACAAUACCAGGAUUCAAUCUCACCACUAAAAAGUUCAAAGGAAGAUGGGCGGGCGAUGGAAUGCCCUGAUAUAUAAUCCCAGAGACCAAAACUGUUAGGCUUGGCACUAUCAAACUCUAUGAUCAUGAGAGUUUGAACACAAGAUUUCGGGUGGAAACCACCGUCGAAAACUUUCCAUGUUCAAACGGUCGAAAGGAAUCUAGUGCUGGACGGCUAGCACUUAAAAAAAUUGAGUCUAAGAGACAGCAUCACUUUAUGCUCAUUCUACAUGAUCACAUGAUUGUAGUUAAUUACUAUGAAUCAUAAGUUAAUCUUGCUACUAAAUUGUUUUACCCUCUUAACGGCUGGGUUGGUAGAUUUUGCCGAACUGCAGUUACGUUUUGUUUUUAUUUCCAAACACUUAUACCAAUUGCCGUUUUGUUAUCGUA